AUUUUGGUGUGUAAUGAUGGAAACGGGUGCCUGAUCCAUAUGAACAAAAGAUCUCGGGUGAUUUUGAUCGAAGACUCUUUCCUUUGAGCAAACUUUAAUUUGUGGCCUCUCUCUGGGUCUGUACAGCAUUUCUGCAUAUGAUUUUCAUAUUCAUCUUGUUUACACAUACGACACACACCAGUUGGUGUUUGAAGAAGUGACUGUUUGGAAAAUUCAAACUUUAUUUGGAUUGUUGAGUAGUAGACAAAAAAUUAAUGUACUAGCAGUAUUAAAGAAUUUAAGGUGUGAUAGACUCAUUGGGCUUUUAUGAAUUGAGUUUAAUCUAAUCUUCAUGCUUUAAUCUAUCAUUUGAGAGUGGAGAAUUAGAUUAAUAAACAUAUUUCGACUUUGAUUCCUAAGUUUGAGAUCGGAAGGAGACGAUUUAGGCUAACUUUGUUAAAUGUUGAACUUGCUAGAAAUAGGGGUUUAGAUUAAGGUAUUGGGUUGCUUUGUUGUUGAACACGAUUGCAAUCGAAAGAAAAUUUCGUGAGAAAACACUGAUCGCUAGGAGAUUAUUGUUGAUUGAUGAUGACCUAGCCUACCUUUGAUUGAUUUGCAUGUGUUGAGAUGACAAUGGAUCGUUGAAUGAGAGUUGGGUUUUGAGUUUUCCAAUUUCCAAUUAUCCCUUGCUUGAUUUGUUCUUUGCCCAAACCCUUUGUUUAGUUACCAAAAUUGCUCUUAAUUUGAUAAUCUUGUAUAUUGUGUGUUUAGGUUCAAACCCAUUUGUCUUUUUGAUUGCCGACAAAUUAUUUUUUAUGGGAUUCGAUUCUGACUCUUUUGUUGGGUGUUUAUUGCUAAUGACAACUUAUUCUCUUACUUGUUUCGAAGGUAAAUUAAGUGUUAUCAAUAAUGAUGAGAGCUAGAAACAUAAGGAGGGAAAGGCUGCAGCUAGUAAAGAUGAAAGACUAUUAUCAUAUCAAUGACAAGAGCUUCCUUAAAACCUCCAACUUUAGUUUCAUUUGUUCGUUUCAUUCUCAUCAGAUUUUCGAGAAAGAAGAUAUAAGAAUUACUUUUGACAUCUUAUCGGUUCUCUUCUCUAAUGUUUCAAGAAGAAGCUUAAAGAAUAGUCAUUAAGAGAGGCAAUCUUCUUUUGAUUGUGCGAAAAACACAUGACAUUUAUUUUAAAGACCUCAUUUGUUUGGAGGUUUUAAUCUUAAUCA